UGGUGGAGUCAUCUGUCUGCUUAAUUGCGAUAACGAACGAGACCGUCACCUGCUAACUAGCCCGUAUUGCUUUGGCAGUACGCUGGCUUCUUAGAGGGACUAUCGGCUUAAGCCGAUGGAAGUUGGCGGCAAUAACA
rnacentral:rRNA from 1 species